CCAGUACAUCUCUCUUCUCUGUUCCCACCCUGGCUCUGCUGACCCUGACACGGCCUCAGAUUGGGUGUGGAAAACAGGACAGCAGAGGUGCUGCUGCAACCUGGCCCAGUGGAUCCCCUGGCUGCUGUCGCUGUAUGUGAGAAUAGACCCUGAGAUUAGACUGAUGGAUGCAAUAUACAAACUCUUGGUACACUGGCCACAGAACGUGCUGACCAGGAAGGACGCUCCACUCCCCCUGCAUGGCGUAGUCAUGACUUGGAGCACACAACGAGAACCAUCACACUUGCUACAGCUCCAGUGCAAGGGGACGGAGGCUGCCUCCUCAGCGAGAGGCCACGCUGCAUCAGGAGGAAGGACAGAGCUGGAAUCCUGGGAGCUCCACCCUGCGCAAGUCUCUCCGCUCCCACCACCGCCAGCCCUGAUCCCAUCAUGGCCAUAAAGGUGGUGUGCAAACCAGGGCAGCCGGUUAAAGAGUCACAUUGUGAGUGGAGUGUCUGGUGAGCCGGGCACCUGCCUUGUCGCGGCUCAGGGUAACAAGGGCCUGUGGCCACCUUACCUGGGCUGAGCGUGUGGCUGAGGCACUCUGCCAGCCCGUGCCCGUCCGCCAGGUGCUCCCGGAGGCCCUGCCCCAGGCAGUUGUCAGGGUCACCUGAGGUGAGGAGGGCCUUGAGUUGUCGGCUGAGUAGAAACAAGACAUUUCUCCCCUCCUGUAAUGUCUGCUUUAACUGGUGAGCUCUUGGGCCUGAUGCUCAAUUAGGAUAUUAGAUCCCCUAUGGUGGGAGCAAAACAAACAAACAAACAAACAAACAAACAUGAAAAGACACAGGUGCGCAAUAGAUUACAUGGGCCUCGGCAGAGAAUUCUGUGGAAAUAUCCCCAAGAAGCCUUCCAAGCGCAAUUCUGGCACAUAUCUGGUGUCCUGCUGGUAGCAAAGAGAGAGAAGAAUGUACAAGGAAGGCCUCCUCUGUAUCAGAAAGUGCUCCUGUAAGGUUCCUUGACCUUCCCUUCAAGUGUUUCUGCUGUCUAAACAGCUGGGCGGCUUCCUGAAUUGGCUUCAUAAAGAUGUUCCUUCGGUUUCUCACUUUGGCCAUGGGCAUUUCAUGUGAAGAGGCACCCAGUGCAUUGUGCGGUGACUGGACACACAGCCGCACAAAGACAGGUGGCCAGGUCCAGAGGGGGCUGAUUGAUAGACUGAAAGAACGCGAGAUGACGAGGCAAGAGGACAGCACUCUUUGGAUAAAAGCAUCAGAAGUCACACUCAGUCAGGAGGCGAUUGUGAUUCAGAGUAAAUGGGAUGGUGAUCGCAUGGCAUUUUUAAAGUUUUACUUGGAUCAGUUUAAGGGGCACAAGUGCAGUUUUGUUACAGGGAUACGUUGCGUGGUGGCGAAGUCUGGGCUUUUGGUGUUUCCUUCACCUAAAUGCAUGUGUGACUACACUGAAUGCUGCCGAGUUGUUCACUGUCCUUCUGUUAAUUUUAUGUUGUGUGAAUUUCGCCCUGAAAAUUAGCUUUUGAAAAGAGAAAACGGGGCUCUGAGUAACAAUUGUAGGCCAGAAUUUACCAGUAUUUUUUUUUUUUUUCUGGACUUGUUUUAUACACAUUUGUGCGACACGUGCCUGCCAGGCCCAUUCCUGCCCUUCCCCAGCCAUGUGAACCUGUAGUUGUCCCCGCUGAGCUGCCCCACUUCGAGGAGUCUCGCCCUUCCCACCUGCCUGCCCCACACGGCCCCCUCACCUGAGCCCGUCAGCUGCAGCCAGCUUCUCUGCCUGCUCCCCCUCUGCACACCCAGCCUCUCCCCAGCACGGCCUCCUCGCACUGUGAGGACAGACAGACUCGCCUGCCUCAGUGGGGAGUUGGGCACAGCUGUGCUCACUGCCCACGGGGGAGAGGCAGGCCACAACUUCUGUCAGGAGCACGCUCCCCUGGAAGCUCCUUUCCGCAGGGGCUGUGUCCCUUCCCCAGGGGGAGCAGCACCGUGCUCUCCUAUUGGGCCUCAACACAAGCUCAAAUCGAAUAGAAGCUCAUUAGUCCCAGAAAUUUAGACCAACAGUGAUGUUAUAUGACUGAGGUCUUUGACACAGUACAGGGGUGAUCCUAAUAUUAAUGCAAAUCAGUUCAGCUUAUUCCUCAAAAUCACAGGCACUUCCUUGCCCGCUGCAGGAGUAAAUAACUGAGAUUUUUAACCCAAGUCUCAUCCUACUCCUCACUUGGAAUCAUGGCCAAACUCUCUGUGCCUCAGUUUUCCAACCUCAGAAAAAUGAGGUUAAAAUACCCACUUUUCCCUUCCUAGGAAUACAGUUCGGAUGACAUUUAUUUUGAUGAAUGGAAGAGAAGAAUCAAGUCUAGAGAGCGUUUGUUUUCUCAGAGAGAAGACAUACAAUCGUUCAUCACUUUGCGGCUGGUGAACCUGUAGAACUUACUGUAUUUCUGCAGCUGUUGG